GCUCUAUCCCUGCCGAGUGAAAGAGAUCUUUGGUUUUGCCUUUGCUGACUGCUGAUCUGAUCGUCUCAAGUCUGGUAAGUAAAGGUUUGUCUGAGGUGCAGUGCUGGGAAAUGUUUCUCAUUAUAGGAGAUUCAGUUUAGUGCUGUGAGUCUGCACAGCUCUUGGCAAUCAUCAAAUCCUAGAAAAGUCUAUGUGAACAUUUCCAGACUUACAGAUCUCUCUUAUCAUCAUACUCCAUUUUUAAUUAGGCCCUAUAUCGGCCAUGCUAAGUUUAUUGUAGAUUUAGCGGGGUGUGUAUUAAACAUGCCCUAUAUUUGACUGAAAUAUGUAGAAACUGCUGUAUAGGAGUAAUCUGUCUCCAAAUUUUUCAUUUUGCCAAAAGUCAUACUGAGUAAAUUAUUUUUUACUUUUAUGUUAACGGCUACCCAGACAUUAUGAUAUACUGUUGUACCAGGUAAGUACACACAGAAACGGGAAUUUGAGACCUUUGGGCAUUUAGGAUGUGUCAUAAGUUUGAGUUGAGUGCAUGUGAAGUGUUUAAAGCAGGUGGUCUGAAACUGUCUGCUCUAACUUCAUUGUGUGGGUUUAGCUUGACCAUAUAAUGUUUACAGUAAGUCACUGUAGCACCACAUCUUGGUUUACAGACUCUGUUUGUUUUUAUUGUGUUAAUAGAAUGUAAAAAUGUCCUUAGAAAUGUUCCACCACCAUAUGUUAAACAUUUUCAUUCAGUUGAAUCUAAUAAUGUACUGUACAACUCUUCAGUGUGUAAUGAUAUAUAUGUUCUGUAUUUUUCGGACUGUAAGGCGCACUAAAUUCUAAGGCACAUUAAGUCAAACAAAACAGAUAAGUCAAACUUUAUUCAACUCAUUUACAAUAACUCUCAAAAUUGUUCAGUUGUAAGACAUAAAAUACAGAACAAUACACUCACUUUUCAGGAUUUGUGGAUUGAUGAAUGUGGAUUGAUCAGUUUGAAAUCUGCUUCAUAAGCAUGGCUCUCAACAGGUGCCAGGCUCUUAUACACACACACACACACACACACACACCAUAUUAUGUUGAAGCACAGUACGAAUUACUCUACGAGGGUGCUGACUAUGGUAGCCAUGCUCCGACAAUACAUCAAGUGGUGCUGCUUUGUAGCUUACCAAAGUCAUACUAAAACAUUUGACAGAUUUUUGAAUGCCGUGUACCACAUAGAAUUGGUUUGAAAUCAAUAAGCACAACCAUACAUAAGGUGCACUGUCUAUUUUUGAGAAAAUUAAAGGCUUUUAAAUGUGCCUUAUAGUCUGAAAAAUACGGUAAAGCCAGGUUUAUUGGAAGUGUGUCUAAUUCCACUUUCUUUCUGUCUUACAAGUGACCUGCUGCAGAAUACCCUCUCCCUCUAUCAUUAACAAGCAAUUCAGUCUGUCCUAUCACUCUCCCUCUCCCUGCUCCAUCUUUGUUGACAAGCCAUUCUA